rnacentral:rRNA from 1 species
UCUGUCGUGAAAUCCUCAGGCUCAACCUGAGGCUUGCGGUGGGUACGGGCAGACUAGAGUGCGGUAGGGGAGAUUGGAAUUCCUGGUGUAGCGGUGGAAUGCGCAGAUAUCAGGAGGAACACCGAUGGCGAAGGCAGAUCUCUGGGCCGUAACUGACGCUGAGGAGCGAAAGGGUGGGGAGCAAACA